rnacentral:tRNA from 1 species
GGGGGAUUAGUUUAGUGGGAAAACGAUGGCUUUGCAAGCCAUAGUCAAGGGUUCGACUCCCUUAUUCUCCACCA